rnacentral:rRNA from 1 species
AUUGAACGCUGGCGGCAGGCUUAACACAUGCAAGUCGAGCGGGGGAAGUUGCUUCGGUACUUGGCCUAGCGGCGAACGGGUGAGUAAUACUUAGGCAUCUGCCUCUCAAUGGGGGGCAACACCUCGAAAGGGAUGCUAAUACCGCAUACGCCCUACGUGGGCAAGCGGGGGGUCCCGUGUGACCCUGUGUUAAUGGAUGCGCCUAGGGCGGAUUAGGUAGUUGGUGGGGUAAAGGCCUACCAAGGCGAUGAUCCGUAGCGGGUUUGAGAGGGUCAUCCGGCACACUGGGACUGAGACACGGGCCAGACACCUACGGGAGGGAGCAGUUGGGAAUAUUGGGCAAUUGGGGGAACGCUGAUCCAGCCAUGCCGCGGGUGUGAAGAAGGCCUUAUGGUUGUAAAGCACUUUUAGUGAGGAGGAAGCACUUUUAGUUAAUUCCCAAGAUGAGUGGACGGUACCCGCAGAAUAAGCACCGGCUAACUCUGUGCCAGCCGCCGCCGUAACAC